UAAAUAUAAUCAAUUGGAUUGAUGUCAAUCACCUCACUACCUUGCUAAUUAGAACCUAAAAUGAUUGUACACCGAUACACUUUUGGUAUCUGAACCAGCUUGGUUUCUGUACAGUCCUCACGUGCAGUCACAUAAAGUUUGGUAAAAAAUUCCAGAGGUGGUCAGCGGUCACGUGAGAGCUUGAGGAAACCCCGAUAUAUUAGUAACUAACUUAUACAUUACAACACACCACACCUUUAUUGCUUAUUUACAUCUACAUACGUUGACAACUCAGAAACCCCCCAAAUUUUAACCACCAGCCAAAUUACAAACCUUCCCAACUCUCGCGCGCCCGCCCCAGCCCCGGCGCCCCC
rnacentral:lncRNA from 1 species